CCUACGGGUGGCAGCAGUGGGGAAUAUUGGACAAUGGGCGAAAGCCUGAUCCAGCCAUGCCGCGUGUGUGAAGAAGGCCUUCGGGUUGUAAAGCACUUUCAGUGGGGAAGAAAGCCUUGGGGCUAAUACCCUCGAGGAAGGACAUCACCCACAGAAGAAGCACCGGCUAACUCCGUGCCAGCAGCCGCGGUAAUACGGAGGGUGCGAGCGUUAAUCGGAAUUACUGGGCGUAAAGCGCGCGUAGGCGGUCUGAUAAGCCGGUUGUGAAAGCCCCGGGCUCAACCUGGGAGCGGCAUCCGGAACUGUCAGGCUAGAGUGCAGGAGAGGAAGGUAGAAUUCCCGGUGUAGCGGUGAAAUGCGUAGAGAUCGGGAGGAAUACCAGUGGCGAAGGCGGCCUUCUGGACUGACACUGACGCUGAGGUGCGAAAGCGUGGGUAGCAAACAGGAUUAGAUACCCCGGUAGUC
rnacentral:rRNA from 1 species